AUGCGACACCAAGUCCCUCAUGGAGCCAUGGAGCAAGAGCAAAUACCUCCACAAGUACCACAUCAAGCCCCUCAAGACGGUGAUGCACUUCGACAAGCACAAGAGCAAUGUGAAGCACAAGCCCUCGAUCGUGAAGCUCAAGCACUUGAAGCACAACAAGCUCUAAGCGAGGCCACUAGAGCCGUUGAAGUCCGCAACCGCCAAGUGCGAGAACAAGAGGAAUCUCUUCGAUGCAAGAUACAAGAAGAAGCCGCCCGACGCGAAGAACAACAAGAAAGGCGCAACCAAGCGUGCAUUCCUCGCCCUCCUCCAAGACAAGAGCGACACCAAGUGGAACAAGUGCUUCAAGACCCUCCUCCAUGA
rnacentral:rRNA from 1 species